rnacentral:rRNA from 1 species
AUGAAUGCUAGCGGAGUGCUUAACACAUGCAAGUCGAACGGCCAGCAAUGGCAGUGGCAGACGGGCGAGUAACACGUGCAUAACCUGCCCUGUAGAGGAGGACAACUGCGGAAACGCAGCUAAUCCACCAUAAGCCUUGAGGAAUGAGAAAAAUCAAGGGAAAGGAUUUAUCGCUAUAGGAGGGGUGCGCGGACCACCAGUUAGUUGGCAGGGUAAAGGCCUACCAAGACAAAGACGGAUAGCCGGCCUGAGAGGGUGAACGGCCGCAAUGGGACUGAGAUACGGCCCAUACCCCUACGGGGGGCAGCAGUGGGGAAUAUUGGACAAUGGGGGCAACCCUGAUCCAGCAACUCCGCGUGGAGGAAGAAGCC